rnacentral:rRNA from 1 species
CAAUAGCGUAUAUUUAAGUUGUUGCAGUUAAAAAGCUCGUAGUUGGAUUUCGGAUGGGACUUGCCGGUCCGUCGUUUCGAUGUGCACUGGCCAGUCCUAUCUUGUUGUCGGGGACUAGCUCCUGGGCUUCACUGUCCGGGACUAGGAGCUGACGAGGUUACUUUGAGUAAAUUAGAGUGUUCAAAGCAAGCCUACGCUCUGAAUACAUUAGCAUGGAAUAACACGAUAGGACUCUGGCUUAUCUUGUUGGUCUGUGAGACCAGAGUAAUGAUUAAGAGGGACAGUCGGGGGCAUUCGUAUUUCAUUGUCAGAGGUGAAAUUCUUGGAUUUAUGAAAGACGGACUACUGCGAAAGCAUUUGCCAAGGAUGUUUUCAUUGA